rnacentral:rRNA from 1 species
UACUUGUCUCAAAGAUUAAGCCAUGCAUGUCUAAGUAUAAGCAACUAUACAGUGAAACUGCGAAUGGCUCAUUAAAUCAGUUAUCGUUUAUUUGAUAGUACCUUACUACUUGGAUAACCGUGGUAAUUCUAGAGCUAAUACAUGCUAAAAAUCCCGACCUCUGGAAGGGAUGUAUUUAUUAGAUAAAAAACCAAUGCCUUCGGGCUCCUUGGUGAUUCAUGAUAACUUAACGAAUCGCAUGGCCUUGCGCCGGCGAUGGUUCAUUCAAAUUUCUGCCCUAUCAACUUUCGAUGGUAGGAUAGUGGCCUACCAUGGUUUCAACGGGUAACGGGGAAUUAGGGUUCGAUUCCGGAGAGGGAGCCUGAGAAACGGCUACCACAUCCAAGGAAGGCAGCAGGCGCGCAAAUUACCCAAUCCCGAUUCGGGGAGGUAGUGACAAUAAAUACUGAUACAGGGCUCUUUUGGGUCUUGUAAUUGGAAUGAGUACAAUUUAAAUCCCUUAACGAGGAACAAUUGGAGGGCAAGUCUGGCCCC